rnacentral:lncRNA from 10 species
AAUCUGACAGUUUUUCUCACAACAACCCUGUGAGAUUUAGGCCUAUUAAAGGAAGGCAGGAAGAACUAAAGGAAGUAAUUGAACGUUUUAAGAAAGAUGAACACUUGGAGAAAGCCUUCAAAUGUUUGACUUCAGGCGAAUGGGCACGGCACUAUUUUCUCAACAAGAAUAAAAUGCAGGAGAAAUUAUUCAAAGAACAUAGGCAGAAUCUUGCUCUGUCACCCAGGCUGGAGUGCAGUGGCCUGAUUAUGGCUCACUGCAGCUUCCAUCUCUUGGGCUCAAGUGAUUCUUCCUCUCAGCCUCCCACGUAGCUGGCACUAAAGGUAUUUAUUUAUUUGCGAAUGUUUGCAACUGACAGUGGAUUUGAAAUAUUGCCAUGUAAUAGAUACUCAUCAGAACAAAAUGGAGCCAAAAUAGUUGCAACAAAAGAGUGGAAACGAAAUGACAAAAUAGAAUUACUGGUGGGUUGUAUUGCCGAACUUUCAGAAAUUGAGGAGAACAUGCUACUUAGACAUGGAGAAAACGACUUCAGUGUCAUGUACUCCACAAGGAAAAACUGUGCUCAACUCUGGCUGGGUCCUGCUGCGUUUAUAAACCAUGAUUGCAGACCUAAUUGUAAGUUUGUGUCAACUGGUCGAGAUACAGCAUGUGUG